UACGUAGGGGGCUAGCGUUGUCCGGAAUCAUUGGGCGUAAAGCGCGUGUAGGCGGCCCGGUAAGUCCGCUGUGAAAGUCGGGGGCUCAACCCUCGGAUGCCGGUGGAUACUGUCGGGCUAGAGUGCGGAAGAGGCGAGUGGAAUUCUCGGUGUAGCGGUGAAAUGCGUAGAUAUCGAGAGGAACACCUGCGGCGAAGGCGGGUAGCUGGGCCGACACUGACGCUGAUGCGCGAAAGCCAGGGGAGCGAACGGG
rnacentral:rRNA from 1 species